rnacentral:tRNA from 1 species
GUCUUCGUAGUAUACUCAAUACGCUGGUCUUGUAAACCAGNAAANGAGAACAACCAACCUCCCUAAGACU